GCCUGGGUGGCUCAGUCGGUUAAGCGUCUGACUUCAGCUCAGGUCAUGAUCUCACUCACGGUUUGUGAGUUCAAGCCCCGCGUCGGGCU
rnacentral:tRNA from 1 species